UACAGAGGUCCCAAGCGUUGUUCGGAUUCAUUGGGCGUAAAGGGUGCGUAGGCGGCGCGGUAAGUCGGGUGUGAAAUCUCGGGGCUUAACUCCGAAACUGCAUUCGAUACUGCCGUGCUUGGGGACUGGAGAGGAGACUGGAAUUUACGGUGUAGCGGUGAAAUGCGUAGAUAUCGUAAGGAAGACCAGUGGCGAAGGCGGGUCUCUGGACAGUUCCUGACGCUGAGGCACGAAGGCCAGGGGAGCAAACGGG
rnacentral:rRNA from 1 species